rnacentral:rRNA from 1 species
UGAACGCUGGCGGCGUGCUUAACACAUGCAAGUCGAACGGAAAGGCUCCUGCUUGCAGGGGUACUCGAGUGGCGAACGGGUGAGUAACACGUGGGUGAUCUGCCCUGCACUUCGGGAUAAGCCUGGGAAACUGGGUCUAAUACCGGAUAGGACGAUGGUUUGGAUGCCAUUGUGGAAAGUUUUUCGGUGUGGGAUGAGCUCGCGGCCUAUCAGCUUGUUGGUGGGGUAAUGGCCUACCAAGGCGUCGACGGGUAGCCGGCCUGAGAGGGUGUACGGCCACAUUGGGACUGAGAUACGGCCCAGACUCCUACGGGAGGCAGCAGUGGGGAAUAUUGCACAAUGGGCGCAAGCCUGAUGCAGCGACGCCGCGUGGUGGAUGACGGCCUUCGGGUUGUAAACUCCUUUCGCUAGGGACGAAGCGUUUUUGUGACGGUACCUGGAGAAGAAGCACCGGCUAACUAC